AUGAUUUAAAAAAAAAGAACCUCCCAACUCCUAAUUUCCAAACAAAACCAACUUUUUUAGCUUAGCUAUUAGCUUAGAGUAAAGAGAAUAAAAUUAGCUGCCGAUACUAAUUUUACAAGCAUAAUACCAUACACAAGGAGAAGACGAAUAACGAAGCAACAGUGCAAGAAAUUCGGUAUAAAACAGGAUCAUGGCAGAGCACAAAUGCUCUCCGAGUCCCUUUCAAAUAUUCUAUAUAAAUUAAAACUCAUUCAUGUAUACGAUUCUUUCAAUAUUGCUCUCUUCUUUAUUUACGUAUGACAAAUUGGCAAUUAGUGCCCCCUUAGUGGUCUCUUUGUAGGAGUGGGGAAAAAAGGGCUCAAAAGAAGUUCGAGUGGCACAACAGUGGUCGUUUACCUAAUAUUCCAAUUCCUAUUCCUACAUACAAAGGUGCUGGAAGCUGUCGAGCUUGCUUCUUUCCUUCAAGAUUUUCAUCUGCCAGGCCACCAAAACCGUUGCAAUAGGCUAUAAUAUGUUUCAGAAGACAAUGUAAGCCGUUGCAAUAGGUCAUGCAAACCGUAAGGGUGAAGCUACAACUGGACAAAAGGUAGUUAGUUGAACACUC